AAUUUUGAACGAGUGGCGGACGGGUGAGUAACACGUGGGUAACCUGCCCUUAAGUGGGGGAUAACAUUUGGAAACAGAUGCUAAUACCGCAUAAAUCCAAGAACCGCAUGGUUCUUGGCUGAAAGAUGGCGUAAGCUAUCGCUUUUGGAUGGACCCGCGGCGUAUUAGCUAGUUGGUGAGGUAACGGCUCACCAAGGCAAUGAUACGUAGCCGAACUGAGAGGUUGAUCGGCCACAUUGGGACUGAGACACGGCCCAAACUCCUACGGGAGGCAGCAGUAGGGAAUCUUCCACAAUGGACGCAAGUCUGAUGGAGCAACGCCGCGUGAGUGAAGAAGGCUUUCGGGUCGUAAAACUCUGUUGUUGGAGAAGAAUGGUCGGCAGAGUAACUGUUGUCGGCGUGACGGUAUCCAACCAGAAAGCCACGGCUAACUACGUGCCAGCAGCCGCGGUAAUACGUAGGUGGCAAGCGUUAUCCGGAUUUAUUGGGCGUAAAGCGAGCGCAGGCGGUUUUUUAAGUCUGAUGUGAAAGCCCUCGGCUUAACCGAGGAAGUGCAUCGGAAACUGGGAAACUUGAGUGCAGAAGAGGACAGUGGAACUCCAUGUGUAGCGGUGAAAUGCGUAGAUAUAUGGAAGAACACCAGUGGCGAAGGCGGCUGUCUGGUCUGUAACUGACGCUGAGGCUCGAAAGCAUGGGUAGCGAACAGGAUUAGAUACCCUGGUAGUCCAUGCCGUAAACGAUGAAUGCUAGGUGUUGGAGGGUUUCCGCCCUUCAGUGCCGCAGCUAACGCAUUAAGCAUUCCGCCUGGGGAGUACGACCGCAAGGUUGAAACUCAAAGGAAUUGACGGGGGCCCGCACAAGCGGUGGAGCAUGUGGUUUAAUUCGAAGCAACGCGAAGAACCUUACCAGGUCUUGACAUCUUUUGAUCACCUGAGAGAUCAGGUUUCCCCUUCGGGGGCAAAUGACAGGUGGUGCAUGGUUGUCGUCAGCUCGUGUCGUG
rnacentral:rRNA from 1 species